rnacentral:rRNA from 1 species
AGUGAACGCUGGCGGCAGGCCCAACACAUGCAAGUCGAGCGGCAGCGCGUCCGACCACCCUCGGGUGGUCGGAUGGCGGCGAGCGGCGGACGGGUGAGGAAUGCAUCGGAAUCUGCCUCGUUGUGGGGGAUAACGUAGGGAAACUUACGCUAAUACCGCAUACGACCUACGGGUGAAAGUGGGGGACCUUCGGGCCUCACGCGAUGAGAUGAGCCGAUGCCGGAUUAGCUAGUUGGCGGGGUAAAGGCCCACCAAGGCGACGAUCCGUAGCUGGUCUGAGAGGAUGAUCAGCCACACUGGAACUGAGACACGGUCCAGACUCCUACGGGAGGCAGCAGUGGGGAAUAUUGGACAAUGGGGGCAACCCUGAUCCAGCCAUGCCGCGUGUGUGAAGAAGGCCU